GCGGCGGCGGCGGCGGAGCGGGCCCGGCCCCGCCGUGCCCUUUGUACCUGCGCGGGGCCCGCGGGCAGCGCGGCCGCGGCCCGGAGCGCUCCCGGGUCACCUUCACCCCCGGCCCGGGGCCGGCGGGGAGGGCCCGGCGGCGGCCGAGAUUGGAGCGGGCACGGCCGCGGGGAGGACAGCGGCUGCCCCGGCGCGUCCCGGCCCGCGGGGCCCCGCGCGGGCGGGCGCCGGGCCGGGGUCAGCGGGGGCCGCGCCCGGGGCAGCGCGGGGAAGGGCACGGGCCCCUCUCCGGGGCCGCCACCCGGGUCCUUCCAUGGGCACUGGCCCCGUCCCUUUCCCGAUUCCUCCCCGGGUCCCCUACCCAGUCCCCUCCCCGGCCCUGCCAGGGUCUCUUCCUCGGUUCCUUUCUCGGACCCCUCUCCGGCCCCUUCCCUGGGUGCCCUCCCCCGAUUCACUCCCCGGUCCCUUGCCCGAUUCUUUCCCGUGUCCCUUUCCCAGGUCCUGUCCCGUGUCCCUUUCCCAGGUCCCUUCUCCUGUCCCUUUCCCAGGUCCCUUUCCAGGUCCCUUUCCCAGGUCCCUCUCCCAUGUCUCUUUCCAGGUUCCUUUCCCGGGUCCCUUCCUGGCUACCCUCGCCUGUCCCUUGCCCGGUCCCUUCUCUGGUCCCCUCCCCGGUGCCCUCCCCAGCCCUGUGCCCCCGCCGCUCCUCGGCUGCCUCAGAACCGGCUCCGGUUUCAGGAGGGUUUAGUGUGGCCAGACGCGGAGGUUUUGUCUUUAACCACUUUUAGGUAGUGUGCCAAAUCCACAGGUAUUAAGAUGGGAGAGCUCCGGGGGAGAGCUCUGUGUGUACACAGGGGCUUGUAAAAUACAAGACAGGGGAAUAAAGAUGUUGUGUUGGAGGUCACAAGCUUGUUAAACCCACGGCUGGCUCGAGGUUAAGCCUUAAGAGCUGUUUUGAUGGGUUACGUUAAAUAAACUUGCUCAGGAAAUCCUUUUAAUGAGAGGUUCUUUAAUUUUGGGCGAUUCUUACAAAUUUUUUUGACAAAGGGAAAAUAUUUAUUUAAAGACAGCUAACUGGAUCCGUGGGUCGUGUCUCCCAUAGACAAUCUGCCUGUUGGCUUUCCCAUCAGAAAAGGCAAGAGCCAGAGAAUCAGUUCAAGUACAGACAACACAGUGAUGGACAUUAUUGGGAUAUAUAUGGGAUCCGGGGAAUAAAGCAGGAUGUUCCUGUAAGACAGCCUCUUUCUCCAGCAAUAGGACAAGUCACCUAUUUCAAAAAUAACCCAGUUUCUUCCCUCACACGUUUGAAACCUCACAAGAGGCCGGUGACACUGUGUUACCUCGGGAGGGUCAGUCCCAGCUGCUGUGGGCAAACCUGCCCGCCUCCAACAGAGAUGGAAAAGGCAGUUGACAUAUAGCACUAAUAAUAAAUAAAUACGUGUGCAACUGGAGUCCAGCAGUUCCUAAUUUGAAAACACUAUUAUUACUGCCACGGCGCAGCCUGUGAUUUGGUUAUUUAUUUAAAUCAUAUUUGCUUUUUGGGGUUCAAGCGUGUUUAUGUUCUAAACUCCCUAAUCUUUGCUGUGUUACAGCGUGGUAGGAAAAUGUACUCUUGAGUUCAUGGAUGGAGGAGCAGGGGCACAAGACAGCAAAGCAAAGCGUGGGCUGGAACGUUUCCGUGUCAUUUUUACCAUGCAAAUACUUGAUGAAGUAUUCUACAGACAGCUUGGACCAUCAGGGUUCUGAUGAUUGAACCUGUUCUGAAAGGAAUUCUUCAUGUGAGAGCACAAUAUUCAUGUGAGAGCGCUCUUCCUCUUUUACGUGUGGUUAAACGUAGUUGCUGAGUUCAGGAAUUACUGAGAGGAGAAGAAAAAAGGGUUAAGGAAAGAAGGCCUGACGUGUGCAUAAAAUGAAGAUCCAUAUAUCUUGUUUUGGGAAGAAAGACAGUUUUGUGUAUUUUUUCUUUAAUGACUGUGUAAACAUAAUGCAACUUCUUGAAAUAAAUCUCGCACAUGA